rnacentral:lncRNA from 1 species
UGCCACUGUUGCUGGAGAAAUGUCACUGCUAGAGAAUAGAAGACUAUUAUUCCAAAGGGUAUUUGAGACUGACUGAAUCAGGUCUGGAACAUUAUUGAAAUGAGACCCACAAAGGAAGAGAUACUGAGUAAUUCAGCAUUUCCAGUGACACCUUUCUGGCUGUGCUUCAAAGGGAAGAUGACGCUAGAGCUGGCAGCAUGACCAGCACUGUGUAAAUCACCCAGACAGACAACAACACAACAUCCAUGAAUAGAUGGCAGAGUUAGCAAGAAAAAAUAGCUUGGAGGAUGGAAAAACCCCAAA